AAAGGGAACCCAAGACGGAUGGAAAAUAUACUAAAAUGCAGGACCUCUGUGGCCUUAAAGCUGAAAUCUAAGGAUACCUAUUUCAUCAAUUUCAUUGAGAGCUGCCUUGAAUAUGAUCCAAAAAAGCGCAUGACACCAGACAAAGCCUUGCGCCAUCCAUGGAUUGGGAAACACUUCGAACAGAAAACAAGUUCUCGAUUAAGUUAUAAAGCACCCAUCUGCACAAAAAUACCUACCAUGCUGAGAAGGGAAAAAAGGGAACCCAUAAGGCUGGUGCCACUCAAAAGAAUUGUAUCACCAAAGCCCACCUUUCAAAACGAUCGUCGCUUUCAACAAGGGGGAUGCUAUUACUAACAUGGCACCUUGAGCAUCAGAGUUUCCUCUACCUUAUAAUAAUAAUAACAGCUUGAAUUUAUAUAGCACUAUUCAAGGGACCCAAGGACGUUUUACAUGUGUCAGUGGGGACAAAAAGAGAGAAAAAACAUUUUAAUUUGCACAAAACAGAACAGAAAUAAAAAGCACUAAUGGCUGGAGGAGCAGUGUACCUCUCCACCAGUGUUGCAAACUUGGCGACUUUCUCGCUAAAUCUGGCGACUUUCCAAAUCCUCUUGGCGACUUUUUUUGUCAAAAGCGACUAGCGACAAAUCUAGCGACU